rnacentral:rRNA from 1 species
UAAAACGUAGGUACCGAGCGUUAUCCGGAUUUACUGGGCGUAAAGCGUGUUCAGGCGGCCUGGCAAGUCGGGCAUGAAAUCUCUCGGCUCAACCGAGAGAGGCUGUCCGAUACUGCUGGGCUUGAGGACGGUAGAGGGUGGUGGAAUUCCGCGUGUAGUGGUGAAAUGCGUAGAUAUGCGGAGGAACACCAGUGGCGAAGGCGGCCACCUGGACCGUCCCUGACGCUCAAACACGAAAGCUAGGGUAGCGAACGGGAUUAGAAACCCCGGUAGUCCUAGCCGUAAACGAUGUUGACUGGGUGUCAGAGGUGUAAAACCCUUUGGUGCCGGAGCAAACGCGUUAAGUCAACCGCCUGGGGACUACGGCCGCAAGGUUA